rnacentral:lncRNA from 1 species
AAUAAUAUUUACGAGGACGCUGCACAGAUAGGAGUGGGACUAUGUAGAAUAGGCAAAUAAACUUUGUGGUAAGUUACUGAUUGGUUAUUAAUAAUCUUAAAAAUUAGACUUAUGAUUAGGCAAUUUAGUUGAUAAUAAUACGUUGUUAGUAGAACAAAUGGUUAAGAAUUCAAAGGAUCAUAACCUUUGAAAUUUGCUGGCC